AAAUUGACGGGGACCCGCACAAGCGGUGGAUGAUGUGAUUUAAUUCGAUGCAACGCGAAAACCUUACCUACCCUUGACAUGUCAAGAAUUUUGCAGAGAUGUGAAAGUGCUCGAAAGAGAACUUGAACACAGGUGCUGCAUGGCCGUCGUCAGCUCGUGUCGUGAGAUGUUGGGUUAAGUCCCGCAACGAGCGCAACCCUUGUCAUUAGUUGCUACCGCAAGGAGCACUCUAAUGAGACUGCCGGUGACAAACCGGAGGAAGGUGGGGAUGACGUCAGGUCCUCAUGGCCCUUAUGGGUAGGGCUACACACGUCAUACAAUGGCCGGUACAGAGGGCUGCCAACCCGCGAGGGGGAGCCAAUCCCAGAAAACCGGUCGUAGUCCGGAUCGUAGUCUGCAACUCGACUGCGUGAAGUCGGAAUCGCUAGUAAUCGCGGAUCAGCAUGCUGCGGUGAAUACGUUCCCGGGCCUU
rnacentral:rRNA from 1 species